rnacentral:snRNA from 1 species
UUGUCAGGUGGGGAGUUU